rnacentral:rRNA from 1 species
UACGAAGGGGGCUAGCGUUGCUCGGAAUCACUGGGCGUAAAGCGCACGUAGGCGGAUUGUUAAGUCAGGGGUGAAAUCCUGGAGCUCAACUCCAGAACUGCCUUUGAUACUGAGAGCUUGAGUCCGGGAGAGGUGAGUGGAACUGCGAGUGUAGAGGUGAAUUCGUAGAUAUUCGCAAGAACACCAGUGGCGAAGGCGGCUCACUGGCCCGGUACUGACGCUGAGGUGCGAAAGCGUGGGGAGCAAACAG